GAGUCACAUACUACAGGGUGAAUUUAAUGUAUAAACUCUGGAGCAUCCAUCUAACCAGUUUCAUCAGACUAACAGGACCACAGCAAGAAGUUUGGAGGCCCCUGUAACUCCUACGGUCAAACCAAAAUGCCGACUUCUUCCAGUCCUUUUAACAGCACCUUCAGGCCACACACAAGAGGACAAUCUGAGCCUAGAGCAUGCAGUCUGGUAGGAGUUAUCCAGGUCCUGACAGAAUCUCGGCUGCUGUGGGAUGGUGAGAAGAGAUGCCAAAACACAAUGUUUUGCUUCACCUUUU